CCUACGGGAGGCAGCAGUGGGGAAUUUUCCGCAAUGGGCGAAAGCCUGACGGAGCAACGCCGCGUGAGGGAUGAAGGCCUCUGGGCUGUAAACCUCUUUUAUCAAGGAAGAAGAUCUGACGGUACUUGAUGAAUAAGCCACGGCUAAUUCCGUGCCAGCAGCCGCGGUAAUACGGGAGUGGCAAGCGUUAUCCGGAAUUAUUGGGCGUAAAGCGUCCGCAGGCGGCCUGACAAGUCUGCUGUUAAAGCGUGGAGCUUAACUCCAUUUCAGCAGUGGAAACUGUCAGGCUUGAGUGUGGUAGGGGCAGAGGGAAUUCCCGGUGUAGCGGUGAAAUGCGUAGAUAUCGGGAAGAACACCAGUGGCGAAAGCGCUCUGCUGGGCCAUCACUGACGCUCAUGGACGAAAGCCAGGGGAGCGAAAGGGAUUAGAUACCCCUGUAGUCCUGGCCGUAAACGAUGAACACUAGGUGUCGGGGGAAUCGACCCCCUCGGUGUCGUAGCCAACGCGUUAAGUGUUCCGCCUGGGGAGUACGCACGCAAGUGUGAAACUCAAAUGAAUGACGG
rnacentral:rRNA from 1 species